GCGUCUUAAACAUGCAAGUCGUACGAGAAUCCCGGUGCUUGCAUUGGGAGGAAAGUGGCGAACGGGUGAGUAACACGUGGAUAAUCUACCUCUAAGUUGGGGACAACCACUGGAAAUGGUGGCUAAUACCGAAUAGUAUACUUUCUUCAUAUGUUGAGAGUAUUAAAGAUGGGGACCUUCGGGCCUAUCGCUUGGAGAUGAGUCUGCGGCCUAUUAGCUUGUCGGUGGGGUAACGGCCCACCAAGGCGAUGAUGGGUAGCCGGCCUGAGAGGGUGAACGGCCACAUUGGGACUGAGAUACGGCCCAGACUCCUACGGGAGGCAGCAGUUAAGAAUCUUGCGCAAUGGGCGAAAGCUUGACGCAGCGACGCCGCGUGGACGAUGAAGGCCUUCGGGUUGUAAAGUCCGAUAAGCAGGGAAGAAUAAGCAUAGACUAAUAUUCUGUGUGAUGACGGUACCUGCCUAAAGCCCCGGCUAACUACGUGCCAGCAGCCGCGGUAAUACGUAUGGGGCGAGCGUUGUUCGGAAUUAUUGGGCGUAAAGGGCAUCUAGGCGGGAAAUUAAGUUAGGUGUGUAAUCCACAGGCUCAACUUGUGAACUGCAUCUAAAACUGAUUUUCUUGAGUUCGAGAGAGGAGAGCGGAAUUCUUGGUGUAGCGGUGAAAUGCGUAGAUAUCAAGAAGAACACCAGUGGCGAAGGCGGCUCUCUGGCUUAGAACUGACGCUGAAGUGCGAAAGCGUGGGUAGCGAACGGGAUUAGAUACCCCGGUAGUCCACGCCGUAAACGUUGUAUACUAGGUGUUAGUGGCUUGACCACUAGUGCCGAAGCUAACGCAUUAAGUAUACCGCCUGGGGAGUACGCUCGCAAGGGUGAAACUCAAAGAAAUUGACGGGGGCCCGCACAAGCGGUGGAGCAUGUGGUUUAAUUCGACGAUACGCGAAGAACCUUACCUGGGCUUGAACUGUACUUGACAGGUGUAGAGAUACACUCUCCUUC
rnacentral:rRNA from 1 species